UCCAAGACCUCACUUGUGCCCAUGUUCCUUCUCGGUGGCCCUGGCUUGGAGAGGAAGCCCAGAGACCUUGUGUAGCAGCAGGAAGACAUGGAGCAGGUUUCCUAUGAUCCAAGCAGACAGGAGGCAGCUGUCAGCAAGCCAAGGAGAGAGGAGGAGAGGUCUCACCAGAAACAACCCUGCUGGCACCUUGAUCUUGAACUUGAAGCCUCCAAAACACCGAUCUAGAAGCUCAGUUCAAGGUUAGUCAUCAAAACUCCAGGCUCUGCUAUGUCUCUAAAAGCAAGUCUCAGAGAAAAGUUUAGAACCUUUCUGUCAAUGGUGGUCAUGGCCUAACUUUAAGAAAAAUCAGAACAGGUCCUGGAGUCUUCAGUCCAACACAAAGUCCCUGCAUCUUGGUUCUACUGACAUCUUGGACUAUUCAAUCCUCUAUUGUCCUGUGCAUGGCCUUUUCAUUUCAUCAUGGUUCUAUCAUGAACUUUAGAAGAUACACAAGAUGCAAGAAAGGACUAGAGGAAGAAUUAGGAAAAAGUUUACUGGAAGUAUCAGGCAGCUUGCAGAGAGGAGAACAAAAAUGAGACAUUAAAGUUCC